CCUUCGUCUCCUCUUUGUCUUUAUUAUUUCUAGAUAUGGCACUUGUUGCACCAAAAAGAGGAAAAUGAAAUAGAGAAAAACUAAGAUAGCAUGCACAUCUACUAAAGGAGACUCCAAAAAGAAAGUCUUCAAUUCAUGUAAAAGCAUUGACGGAGACAACAGGAGACCUUCAAGACCUGGAUAGAAGUUUUGCAAGGAUCUGAAAACUAGUAGAAUUAACACAAAUGCAAGUAAAUAGAAAUGGUAGAGAAGGAUAAGGCUCAAUGAAUAUAGCAAGGCCUGUUAUAUACAUAAUGCUAGCAUUUACUCGGAAUUAGAUGAACUAAAAGGGGAAAAUACUAUCUUUUAAUUGUACGUCACACAUUACACAAUUCUAAUGACCAUGUCCAAUUCAUGCUGUCAUCUAAAAUGCUACAAAACAUCCCUUCACUUUUUCAUUCAUUCAGUGUUGAUGCAUAUGUUCGUGAAGACUAUUGUUAAAGAUUUUAGAAUUUAUGUUCAGUUUUUAUUCUAUAUUUUUUUUGACUUACUGGAGUUUUAAAUAGUAUGUUGGAAAUAUGAACUUCUAAUAUCAAUUUUGAAGGAUUUAGAUCCCUUUCCUUCCUCCUGAACAUCUAAUUUAUGUACAUCUCUUUAUUUUAGAGUUCCAUUGAGACUUGGCCUAAAGUGUGCUUAUAGAAGGGUAAGCAUCUAGGUUUACUUUGCUCCAAUUUUCACCUUUUUUGUCUGAAUCAGAAAUAUUUCCAUUUUCUUUGUGUGUUGUGAGACAAUUACUGCCACACCAAAAGAUAUUAUUUGUGGGGCCUUUUUCUUAGGUAAGCCAAAUACAUAAAGGAGAGAAAAGGGUCACAAAGAAAUAGACACAGACAUUCCAUCUUAAUUGGCCAUCCAUAUGGCCCCUUCUAAGGAGAAAGAUUAUGUAGGGUUGAAUAAGACUGAAAUUUUUUUCUCAUUUUUUGAGAUAACAUUGCUCUCCUCUACAAGAAAAACAAUCUUUCCUAAGUUUAUCUAUAAGAAACCAUGGGGAUCAAAGAUUACCAACAGUAUUGAACCAGUCAAUUUUGGAACGUAUCGAACCAAACCAGUUAGUUACCAGCACGAUUUAAUAUGCCUAUUUAGUAUAUAAAUCCAUGAGUUAAGUCAAGGCUCAUCUCUCCCCCUCUUGACCAUGCGAGCUUUGUCUCUCUCUCCUUCUCGAUGUGUGCAGCUGCUCCUCUAUCUCUUGAUGCCCUCAUAAAGCCUUUCCAACUGCACCUCUCUAUUCUGACGCCCUCGUUAGGCCUCCUUUUAUGGCUCCUUUCUUUCUCAAUACUCUCACAAAGCCUCCUCCGGCCAUUUCUCGCCAUCCCGACAAGUGAGUCAUACUCCUCUCUCUUCCC
rnacentral:lncRNA from 1 species